rnacentral:rRNA from 1 species
GACGAACGCUGGCGGCGUGCUUAACACAUGCAAGUCGAACGGAAAGGCUCCAGCUUGCUGGAGUACUCGAGUGGCGAACGGGUGAGUAACACGUGGGUAAUCUGCCCUGCACUCUGGGAUAAGCCUGGGAAACUGGGUCUAAUACUGGAUAUGACCUUUCUCCUUAUGGGGUUUGGUGGAAAGUUUUUCGGUGUAGGAUGAGCCCGCGGCCUAUCAGCUUGUUGGUGGGGUGAUGGCCUACCAAGGCGACGACGGGUAGCCGGCCUGAGAGGGUGAUCGGCCACAUUGGGACUGAGAUACGGCCCAGACUCCUACGGGAGGCAGCAGUGGGGAAUAUUGCACAAUGGGCGGAAGCCUGAUGCAGCGACGCCGCGUGAGGGAUGACGGCCUUCGGGUUGUAAACCUCUUUCAGCAGGGACGAAGCGUAAGUGACGGUACCUGCAGAAGAAGCACCGGCUAACUAUAUG